rnacentral:rRNA from 1 species
ACUCCUACGGGAGGCAGCAGUGGGGAAUCUUGGACAAUGGGGGCAACCCUGAUCCAGCCAUGCCGCGUGAGUGAUGAAGGCCCUAGGGUCGUAAAGCUCUUUCGCCUGUGAAGAUAAUGACUGUAGCAGGUAAAGAAACCCGCUACUCCGUGCCAGCAGCCGCGGUAAUACGGAGGGGUUAGCGUUGUUCGGAAUUACUGGGCGUAAAGCGCGCGUAGGCGGACUGGAAAGUUGGGGUGAAAUCCCAGGGCUCAACCCUGGAACUGCCUCCAAAACUAUCAGUCUAGAGUUCGAGAGAGGUGAGUGGAAUUCCGAGUGUAGAGGUGAAAUUCGUAGAUAUUCGGAGGAACACCAGUGGCGAAGGCGGCUCACUGGCUCGAUACUGACGCUGAGGUGCGAAAGUGUGGGGAGCAAACAGGAUUAGAUACCCUGGUAGGCUCUGC